rnacentral:lncRNA from 1 species
AUGCUUUUCUGUGAUCUCCCGUACUUGACUUCCUUCUUAGAGAUAGCCCUGGCUUUUGGGAGUAACUUCUGGGCUCUGAGGCUGUUACUGGAUCAUCUUUCCUAUCAGGAGCAUGUUCUCCAUGGCACUGUCAAUCUGAUUCUGAGAGAUCUGAGUCGGCAGAAAGUAACAAUGCUAAAACUGUGGCAAAACCUUGGUCCCCAGUAUGUGGGUGAAUUCCUUUGCCUGUUCCUGACUUGCAGACAUAAGAAGAUGCAAUCUAUCGGUCUGUUCGCUCUGAAUAUAGUUACAGAAAACCUGCAUAUGUGUCCGUGGGCAAAGCACCUUUGCAGAUUCUUUCACAAUGUAGGAUUAAGGUAUCUGCCCCUUGGCACUGCAGCUCAUCGUGAAGUCUCAAAGUUCAUAAGCAUUUUUGAAAAACUGUAACUUGCCAAAACUUUCAAGCAUUUUUCAACUUGUAUUCCCUGGACGUACCUCUUGCAGGAUUCUUUGUUUUCUGUUUUGUCAUCUCUUCCUUCACUUAAAAACAUUCACCUAAGAACUGAAUGGACAAAACCAAAAAUUUUAAAUUUAGGUGGUGAAUAGUGGCUGUAUUUCAGCAGAUAUGUUCUGGAAAUGUCCUUUUUUGAGACAUGUGUAUUAAGCCCUCAUUUAAAGAGGCAAGAGCUGUACGUUGUAGGAAAAGCUGGCCUACAGAGAGAUGCUGAUCUGAGACAGCGGAUGCAAGAGGUAUGAGGAGAAAAACAGGGACAAAACAAAGCACCACAAGUUUUUGCUUUUGAGUUGCACAAUUGUGUAGUUGUGUUCUGGGUGAGAAAGCUGCAGCAGAGCAACUGCUAAGAGAACAGUUAAAAAACUUUCUCCAAUGAGGAAAAUUGCCUCUCCACUGGUGUACAACAGCGUACGUUAAUGCUGUUUGCACUCCUUGGUUUUCUUUAGUGCAUAAUUAUAAAAAUAAACCACUCUUCAGUGUGGUUCAGCCUCAAGCUUUCUUAUUUGCUGCAAGAAAUCAGAAUCAAAAAAGCCAUAGCCUGUUUUUUGUACUUAAAAAUAUGUAUAUAUAUAGUUUUUGAGGUUUUCUAAUUGGGGGGCUUUUUUAUAUUCUACAAUAGCUGACAAACUGGUGCUGAUGGCUGUCUCUUUUUGAAGUCUGACUACAAGUUUUAAAAAACUUCUUUGAACUGUGAAGGUACAAAUGGAAAUAUUUCUAGCCUUGUUGUACUGUUCUUUGUCCCCCGCCUGAUACCUGUCUGCAUUGUUUUGGCCGUUGGGACGAAGUUGUUAUACUGCAUUUUGUUAUCCAAAGUGAGUUAUGUUAUUCAAGUCUUCCACAAAAAAUUACAUGCAUCUAAAAUUACUUGAGGUUUAAUAAAACUUUUUGUAGAAAUUGCAUCAUGUUGUCAGUUCUGUGAAUUUGUUUCUUUGUUUUUCUUGUAAGCAGUUGCUGUGCCUUUAUCUUGUGCUGUCAGGGGUCAGUGAAGUCCCCUGCUGCAGGUGAACGUGGUUCUGUUGAAUGGUGGCAGAGGUGGCCACGUGCUGUUCUCUUCUGGCCUGGGCCCGUGUGGCAUGGUCUUUCAUCCUGGUUUCUAAGAGAGGUGGUUUUUUUUUUUUUUUGCUUGUUCUUAGUGCUGUGAUCUUUCUCACCCCAUCUACAUGAGUAGAAGGCCUCCAUUCCUCGUGUAACAGAGGUGGGGAAGGAGACUGCAAUCACAUUAGGCUCUCCAAGCCUUCCUUUCCAGCCUGCGGUGGGGCUGGGCUGCCCGCGUGGCGUUGCUCACGCUUUGUUUCACUUCUCUGCAGAUGUAAAAAGACAAGGGCAAAGCCGAGUAAGCCAUUGCAGCUUGUGGGCUCCUCGGUGCCAUCCUUUCGGUGCCUGGAGCAGGGCCAGGCAGGGGAGGGAGUGGGAGCAGGUGAGGGCAGCGCUUCCUUACCCUGCACAGUCUGCAUUUACCAUCACAGGGAAGGGCAGGAACUGCUUCCACUGCAGUAAGUAAAUAGCAUGUCUAUUCAUUAUUUAUCUGCAGCUGAAUUUUAAUGAAUUAGAGCAGCAAUGAGUAAAGCCCUUAUAGUGAGGAUUAUACUACAGAUAAUGAUAUAAUCUUUUAUGUAUGAGAAAAUGACUUUCUCUGCAGAUUAGCACUUGACUUUGUAAUAACUGUACCUGUCUAUCCAAGCCGUGCCCAAUCAACCACAGUAGAAAACAUCUUCCCAGUACCCUGAGACUGACUAGUGUAACCUCAAAGGUAAAUUGAAGGCAUUUUUUUUCACUGCUUUGCUCCAGGUAUAAUUGAGAUGAACAGAGCUCAUUAAAAAUUGAAAUCUAUACUUCAGAGUAGAAAAUAUGCAUCUAAAGCUCUCUGAUCCAGAUAUUGUAUUUUAGCAAACAGAACUCUGCUGUUUUAGCAAGAGUACAUACAGCUGAAACUGCCAAACACUAAGUAGAACACUUGCAAGAAGUACAUGCAUUGAAGAUAAAACUUUGUCUGGAACUAAUGAAAUUGUUUGAGAUUCGUAAUGUCUGGGAAGAGAAUGCCAUCGUUCAGCCCAGGAGCAUAAGGUGCAUGUGUGCUUGGUUGUGAUCAGCAGACCUCCAUUGAGUUUGUCAGAGAAAGAUUUCUAAAAUAUGUGGCUA